CCCAUUCGACAGUUCGUUCUCUCAGGAAGGAGACGGUCGCAAAGGAAUUUGAGUUUUUUUGCAUCUCUUCAGAUCAAGAAAUCUCGUUAUGGCGUCGCCAUCAGAUCACCGUCGCGAAGCUACCAUCAUCGACGGCAAAGCCAUUGCUCAAACCAUCCGUUCUGAAAUAUCCUCUGAAGUUCGCCAACUCUCCCAGACUUACGGCAAGGUCCCAGGACUGGCUGUUGUCAUUGUAGGCAGCAGGAAGGAUUCUCAAAGCUAUGUACGUAUGAAGAGAAAGGCAUGUGCUGAAGUUGGGAUUAAGUCCUUUGACAUAGACUUUCCGCAGCAAGUAACUGAAGCAGAGGUGAUCAGCAAGGUCCAUGAGUUAAAUGCACAUCCUGAUGUUCAUGGUAUACUGGUUCAGCUUCCUUUACCCAAUCAUAUAAAUGAAGAGAAAGUCUUAGGUGAGAUUAGCAUUGAGAAGGACGUAGAUGGUUUCCAUCCUUUGAACAUUGGAAAGCUUGCCAUGAAAGGAAGAGAAUCUUUAUUCCUUCCCUGCACCCCGAAGGGAUGUCUUGAACUUCUAUCUCGAAGUGGCGUGACUGUAAAAGGAAAAAAGGCAGUUGUGGUAGGUCGAAGUAACAUAGUUGGAUUGCCAGUUUCUUUGCUACUUCUGAAAGCGGAUGCCACAGUAACUAUAGUGCACUCACGUACUCAUGAUCCUGAAAGCAUUGUUCGUGAAGCAGACAUCAUUAUUGCUGCAGCAGGACAGGCAAUGAUGAUAAAAGGCAGUUGGAUCAAGCCUGGUGCUGCAGUUAUUGAUGUGGGAACAAAUGUUGUUGAUGAUUCAAGUAGGAAAUCUGGGUACAGACUUGUGGGGGACGUUGAUUUUCAGGAAGCACGUCAAGUAGCUGGAUGGAUAACUCCUGUUCCAGGGGGUGUUGGUCCUAUGACGGUUGCAAUGCUGCUCAAGAACACCUUGGAGGGCGCCAAGCGUGUGAUCAGACCCUUUUGAGCGGUUAAUUUAGUUUUUCCCUCGAAUUUCUCCUGUCCAAAAAACCCUCUUGGAAGUGGAUAUUACAGCUGCCUAGCACAUCAUGUGGUGGGGGAAGAGAGAAGGGACAAGGAAGAGUGGAACAAAAUUCAAAUCCAUAUUUGUAUUCUGGAUCUGUUCAAUCAAGAUUCUUGGAGCUUGACCAUUGAACAAGCAUUAGAAUAACCUAAUGAUAUGGCCUGGAUUUUGUGUGUUCAGCCAACUUUCAAGGUAGCUGGAUGACCUUUGAGUUAUAGGAAAAUUCAGAGUUUUAAAUCCUAAUGUAAGUAGGGCUGGUGGAUGGCGCAUAGCUAGAUACCACUUUAUCUUCCUGCAAUAUACCGAUCUUAUCUGGAGUUUUGAACAUAUUCUGAAUUGUCCACUCCCUUUUCUAAUUUUUCCUUGGCUUUUGACUUGAUGUGUGCCAAGGGUUUUGAUUAGAAAAGGUGGAAAAGAUGUUGAAAACUCCAGCAUGAAACCUUUCCCUUUUUGCUUGACAUGGUAUUGUUGAUGACAAUGCCAGCAUUUGUCUACCAUUAUGAGAUUAUCUUAGCCUAGUACGCCAUAACUUCCUCUCAAAAAUUUGUUUGUUCAAUGUCUUUUUAGUCUAAAAUCAGGAACCUCCCUUUACAAUUGCUUUGAGAAUCCAUCAUUUCAUUUAAUAUGAAGGCCACUAAAUGGGGAAAAAUUGCAUGCGCAUGCUAGGGCAUGCUGAAACAGUGUAUCCCCUUAAUGUACCUUUUAUGAUUAAUGAGUGAGGGCAUGACUGCACAAAAUUUCAAACUGGUGGGAAACACCAAAUUAGAGAAAGUUGACAUAGACCCCUGGAAAAUUUGAUCCCUACACAAAUAUCUCUGUGAUAAUGGCCGACUGCUGCCUGCCCCAUUGGACCAUCACAAAAAAAAUGUCAUGCUUUCUCAUAAAAACCUGCAUAAACCACAAGCCAUCCAUCCUAAGAUGUCAAUUUCAUUUUAUUUUAUUUUCUUUGGCUGGGAGUCAUCACAAUAUAUUGUUGCUAGGUAGAGGAUGUUGAAUUGUAAAGUCAUUUCUAGCAUUCAAAGUAUAACAUAGAGACUGUACUAUUCAUAUGUGGCUGUACAAUUUAUAUGGUGACUGCACUAUUCAUUUGGUGGCUGCAUAAGUGGUGGCUACUUAAGUCUAUAAAGGUGGCUGCAGAAAGGAGAAUUCAAUAAAGGUGAGCAGUACUCUCUAUUAUAAAUAAAGAUGCCUACUAGGAGUUCCAAUUCAUCUCAAGUAUCUCCAACUCCAGCUUAAAAGAAAGAUAAAUCAAGUACUCUCCUAAAAAAGUGUCCUUGUUGUAGCCUAUAGUUUCUAGUGAGAUUUGUGUACUCCUUAUUCAAGAGAGAGGUAUCGUUAUUUUCCUCUUGUAAUUAGAGAGAAGUUGUAUUAUUAUUUUUUAGUGGAUUCCUUGUACUCUUGCUCAUGAUUUUUCCCUUAAUUUGUUUGGGGCUUUUUCAUAU